GAUGAACGCUGGCGGCGUGCCUAAUACAUGCAAGUCGAGCGAACAGACGAGGAGCUUGCUCCUCUGACGUUAGCGGCGGAAGGGUGAGUAACACGUGGAUAACCUACCUAUAAGACUGGGAUAACUUCGGGAAACCGGAGCUAAUACCGGAUAAUAUAUUGAACCGCAUGGUUCAAUAGUGAAAGACGGUUUUGCUGUCACUUAUAGAUGGAUCCGCGCCGCAUUAGCUAGUUGGUAAGGUAACGGCUUACCAAGGCAACGAUGCGUAGCCGACCUGAGAGGGUGAUCGGCCACACUGGAACUGAGACACGGUCCAGACUCCUACGGGAGGCAGCAGUAGGGAAUCUUCCGCAAUGGGCGAAAGCCUGACGGAGCAACGCCGCGUGAGUGAUGAAGGUCUUCGGAUCGUAAAACUCUGUUAUUAGGGAAGAACAGAUGUGUAAGUAACUAUGCACGUCUUGACGGUACCUAAUCAGAAAGCCACGGCUAACUACGUG
rnacentral:rRNA from 1 species